UACAGAGGUCUCAAGCGUUGUUCGGAUUCAUUGGGCGUAAAGGGUGCGUAGGUGGCGCGGUAAGUCGGGUGUGAAAUUUCGGAGCUUAACUCCGAAACUGCAUUCGAUACUGCCGUGCUUGAGGACUGGAGAGGAGACUGGAAUUUACGGUGUGGCAGUGAAAUGCGUAGAUAUCGUAAGGAAGACCAGUGGCGAAGGCGGGUCUCUGGACAGUUCCUGACACUGAGGCACGGAAGGCCAGGGAGCAAACGGG
rnacentral:rRNA from 1 species